GGAGAGAUGGUUCAGUGGUCAAGAACAUUGACUGCUUCUCCAGAGGACCUGGGUUCAAUUCCCAGCAACUGCA
rnacentral:tRNA from 1 species